rnacentral:rRNA from 1 species
CCUACGGGAGGCUGCAGUGGGGAAUAUUGGACAAUGGGGGCAACCCUGAUCCAGCCAUGCCGCGUGUGUGAAGAAGGCCCUCGGGUUGUAAAGCACUUUCAGUGAGGAAGAACGCCUGGUGGUUAAUACCCAUCAGGAAAGACAUCACUCACAGAAGAAGCACCGGCUAACUCCGUGCCAGCAGCCGCGGUAAUACGGAGGGUGCGAGCGUUAAUCGGAAUUACUGGGCGUAAAGCGCGCGUAGGUGGCUUGAUAAGCCGGUUGUGAAAGCCCCGGGCUCAACCUGGGAACGGCAUCCGGAACUGUCAAGCUAGAGUGCAGGAGAGGAAGGUAGAAUUCCCGGUGUAGCGGUGAAAUGCGUAGAGAGCGGGAGGAAUACCAGUGGCGAAGGCGGCCUUCUGGACUGACACUGACACUGAGGUGCGAAAGCGUGGGUAGCAAACAGGAUUAGAUACCCGUGUAGUC